GCUGACUAGUCACAGGACAAAGUAGC
rnacentral:piRNA from 1 species